rnacentral:rRNA from 1 species
GUUGUGGUUAAAAAGCUCGUAGUUGAACCUUGGGCCUGGCUGGCCGGUCCGCCUCACCGCGUGUACUGGUCCGGCCGGGCCUUUCCCUCUGUGGAACCUCAUGCCCUUCACUGGGUGUGGCGGGGAAACAGGACUUUUACUUUGAAAAAAUUAGAGUGCUCCAGGCAGGCCUAUGCUCGAAUACAUUAGCAUGGAAUAAUAGAAUAGGACGUGCGGUUCUAUUUUGUUGGUUUCUAGGACCGCCGUAAUGAUUAAUAGGGACAGUCGGGGGCAUCAGUAUUCAAUUGUCAGAGGUGAAAUUCUUAGAUUUAUUGAAGACUAACUACUGCGAAAGCAUUUGCCAAGGAUGUUUUCAUUAAUCAGGAACGAAAGUUAGGGGAUCGAAGACGAUCAGAUACCGUCGUAGUCUUAACCAUAAACUAUGCCGACUAGGGAUCGGACGGUGUUAUUUUUUGACCCGUUCGGCACCUUACGAGAAAUCAAAGUGCUUGGGCUCCAGGGGGAGUAUGGUCGCAAGGCUGAAACUUAAAGAAAUUGACGGAAGGGCACCACCAGGGGUGGAGCCUGCGGCUUAAUUUGACUCAACACGGGGAAACUCACCAGGUCCAGACACAAUGAGGAUUGACAGAUUGAGAGCUCUUUCUUGAUUUUGUGGGUGGUGGUGCAUGGCCGUUCUUAGUUGGUGGAGUGAUUUGUCUGCUUAAUUGCGAUAACGAACGAGACCUUAACCUGCUAACUAGCCCGUAUUGCUUUGGCAGUACGCCGGCUUCUUAGAGGGACUAUCGGCUCAGCCCGAUGGAAGUUUGAGGCAAUAACAGGUCUGUGAUGCCCUUAGAUGUUCUGGGCGCACGC